GAUGAACGCUGGCGGCGUGCUUAACACAUGCAAGUCGAACGAUGAAGCCCAGCUUGCUGGGUGGAUUAGUGGCGAACGGGUGAGUAACACGUGAGUAACCUGCCCUUAACUCUGGGAUAAGCCUGGGAAACUGGGUCUAAUACCGGAUAGGAGCGUCCACCGCAUGGUGGGUGUUGGAAAGAUUUAUCGGUUUUGGAUGGACUCGCGGCCUAUCAGCUUGUUGGUGAGGUAAUGGCUCACCAAGGCGACGACGGGUAGCCGGCCUGAGAGGGUGACCGGCCACACUGGGACUGAGACACGGCCCAGACUCCUACGGGAGGCAACAGUGGGGAAUAUUGCACAAUGGGCGCAAGCCUGAUGCAGCGCCGCCGCGUGAGGGAUGACGGCCUUCGGGUUGUAAACCUCUUUCAGUAGGGAAGAAGCGAAAGUGACGGUACCUGCAGAAGAAGCACCGGCUAACUACGUG
rnacentral:rRNA from 1 species